GAUGAACGCUGGCGGCGUGCCUAAUACAUGCAAGUCGAGCGAACAGACGAGGAGCUUGCUCCUCUGACGUUAGCGGCGGACGGGUGAGUAACACGUGGAUAACCUACCUAUAAGACUGGGAUAACUUCGGGAAACCGGAGCUAAUACCGGAUAAUAUAUUGAACCGCAUGGUUCAAUAGUGAACGACGGUUUUGCUGUCACUUAUAGAUGGAUCCGCGCCGCAUUAGCUAGUUGGUAAGGUAACGGCUUACCAAGGCAACGAUGCGUAGCCGACCUGAGAGGGUGAUCGGCCACACUGGAACUGAGACACGGUCCCGACUCCUACGGGAGGCAGCAGUAGGGAAUCUUCCGCAAUGGGCGAAAGCCUGACGGAGCAACGCCGCGUGAGUGAUGAAGGUCUUCGGAUCGUAAAACUCUGUUAUUAGGGAAGAACAAAUGUGUAAGUAACUAUGCACGUCUUGACGGUACCUAAUCAGAAAGCCACGGCUAACUACGUG
rnacentral:rRNA from 1 species